rnacentral:rRNA from 1 species
GCAUAUCAAUAAGCGGAGGAAAAGAAACCAACAGGGAUUGCCCUAGUAACGGCGAGUGAAGCGGCAACAGCUCAAAUUUGAAAUCUGGCUUCGGCCCGAGUUGUAAUUUGUAGAGGAUGCUUUUGGUGAGGUGCCUUCUGAGUUCCCUGGAACGGGACGCCAGAGAGGGUGAGAGCCCCGUAUAGUCGGCCACCGAUCCUCUGUAAAGCUCCUUCGACGAGUCGAGUAGUUUGGGAAUGCUGCUCAAAAUGGGAGGUAUAUCUCUUCUAAAGCUAAAUAUUGGCCAGAGACCGAUAGCGCACAAGUAGAGUGAUCGAAAGAUGAAAAGCACUUUGAAAAGAGGGUUAAAUAGCACGUGAAAUUGUUGAAAGGGAAGCGCUUGUGACCAGACUUGUGCCGGGCUGAUCAUCCAGUGUUCUCACUGGUGCACUCGACCCGGCUCAGGCCAGCGUCGGUUCUCGUAGGGGGAUAAAAGCUUCGGGAACGUGGCACCUUCGGGUGUGUUAUAGCCCGUUGCUUAAUACCCUUGUGGGGACCGAGGUUCGCGCUCUGCAAGGACGCUGGCAUAAUGGUCAUCAGCGACCCGUCUUGAAACACGGACCAAGGAGUCGAGGUUUUGCGCGAGUGUUUGGGUGUAAAACCCGCACGCGUAAUGAAAGUGAACGUAGGUGAGAGCUUCGGCGCAUCAUCGACCGAUCCUGAUGUAUUCGGAUGGAUUUGAGUAAGAGCGUAUAGCCUCGGACCCGAAAGAUGGUGAACUAUGCCUGAAUAGGGUGAAGCCAGAGGAAACUCUGGUGGAGGCUCGCAGCGGUUCUGACGUGCAAAUCGAUCGUCAAAUUUGGGCAUGGGGGGCGAAAGACUAAUCGAACCAUCUAGUAGCUGGUUACCGCCGAAGU